AGAGCCAAGACCCGACCCUCAAGUCCUCCUAUUAGGGCAGCACUAGGGCCACCUCUUUGUCAGCAGAACCUUUGGAUAGCCGCUGAUGGGGUGAGUCAGCUUUCUGGGCCCGGCAGACCUUUUGGGAAUCCCUGGCUUUUGGGGCACAACAUCCUGGGGACCACCAAAAAGCCCUUUCACCUGAGCUUUGGGAAAGAGGAACAGCUCCGGCUGUGGGUGGCUCAUGUCACCACCUGGAAGCCAGCUGGGCCACAGCAGACGCGAAGGACCAUCCCACAUCAGCUCAUCGUGGAGUAUGCAGCUCAGUCCUCCCGCCUCUCAGGGACAACUUGGAUCUUCACCCUUCCUCACCACUAAGAAUUCCAGUCAUCUACAUUCAGAGGGAAGCUGAGCAAACUGGCUCCUGCCCACACUGGAAAAUUUCUCUGCCUAAACCAGCUUCCCUAAGCCGAGGGGAGAGUCCAAGAUCCCGAAGAUGGCAGGGCCGUGCAGGCUCCUGGGAUUAAGACACAAACAAGCCCUGUUCUCAGGCUGACAGUAAAUGGUUCAGACAGUCCUGAUGACUUGUGCAUUGUGACUGACACGGAACAAAGCCACGGAAGUGGAGUCAUGGUACCCAAAACCAGAGAGUUCAGAGGCCAGACACUUAUCUGGGCUGCAGGACCUGGUGCCCACUUCUGUGGGUCUUUCUCAAAGACUAUGGCAGAAACUUCCUGGUUCAAAGGGA
rnacentral:lncRNA from 1 species